rnacentral:misc_RNA from 1 species
UGUGUGAGGGUCGGCUAGUGUCAAAACAAUCGCGUCGCUUGCUCUUGCGACGCGCUCUGGACCUUCGCGGCCGUAAAAUCCGGCGCUCACCGAAUCGCUCGCUCGGCGGUUUGCGUGUUGCGCCCGGUGGCCCCGUGGUCUUAAGCACAAGCCGCGCCGUUGUCCGUGUUCGUCUCGGGACGUCCGCGACGCCGCCUUGCUCUCGGCGGCGGCCAAAUUUCCUCUCCGUCACCGCUAUGCGGGACCCGGCUCGCUCUCGCUAACGGGCCCGCUUAUAACCAGCUUCAGGGUGACGGGCGGAGGAGAGAAGCUUACGCUGACGCUCGAUCGACGAGUCGGCGCCCGUACGAAAAAAAUUGGAAAAAAAAUAACCGUGCGUUGCGCGUUAUUUUUUUUUUUCCUUUCUUUCCGACCUCAGAUCGGACGAGAUUACCCCCUGAAUUUAAGCAUAGAAA